rnacentral:rRNA from 1 species
GACAGAGGGUGCAAACGUUGUUCGGAAUUACUGGGCGUAAAGCGUGCGCAGGCGGUGAUGUAAGACAGUUGUGAAAUCCCCGGGCUCAACCUGGGAACUGCAUUUGUGACUGCACGGCUGGAGUGCGGCAGAGGGGGAUGGAAUUCCGCGUGUAGCAGUGAAAUGCGUAGAUAUGCGGAGGAACACCGAUGGCGAAGGCAAUCCCCUGGGCCUGCACUGACGCUCAUGCACGAAAGCGUGGGGAGCAAACAGG